rnacentral:rRNA from 1 species
GGAUGCGAUCAUACUAGCACUAAAGCACCGGAUCCCAUCAGAACUCCGAAGUUAAGCGUGCUUGGGCGAGAGUAGUACUAGGAUUGGUGACCUCCUGGGAAGUCCUCGUGUUGCAUCCC